CCUACGGGUGGCAGCAGUGGGGAAUAUUGGACAAUGGGGGGAACCCUGAUCCAGCCAUGCCGCGUGUGUGAAGAAGGCCCUCGGGUUGUAAAGCACUUUCAGUGAGGAAGAACGCCUGGUGGUUAAUACCCAUCAGGAAAGACAUCACUCACAGAAGAAGCACCGGCUAACUCCGUGCCAGCAGCCGCGGUAAUACGGAGGGUGCGAGCGUUAAUCGGAAUUACUGGGCGUAAAGCGCGCGUAGGUGGCUUGAUAAGCCGGUUGUGAAAGCCCCGGGCUCAACUUGGGAACGGCAUCCGGAACUGUCAAGCUAGAGUGCAGGAGAGGAAGGUAGAAUUCCCGGUGUAGCGGUGAAAUGCGUAGAGAUCGGGAGGAAUACCAGUGGCGAAGGCGGCCUUCUGGACUGACACUGACACUGAGGUGCGAAAGCGUGGGUAGCAAACAGGAUUAGAUACCCCAGUAGUC
rnacentral:rRNA from 1 species